UACAAACCGCGCCAUGCUGGUGCUUGGACCUCACCGUCCAGGCUUAAUAGGGAACCCGGUUUGAUUCCGGGACUGCCCCGCAGCGGUAAGUGAGAACGAACCUCGUCAUCCGCACUGGUUCCUCGGAACUGGGAAGCGACGAGAAGUAGGAAGCCGGCGUCAAGCCGAAGCGCUCACGAGUCCGAAGACCUGCCCGCAUCCGCCCGUGGGA
rnacentral:ncRNA from 2 species